CACAAUACUGAAUUCUGUAACUACUGAGACAUCUCAUUUUCUGAGUCCAAACUCGACCUGUGCAUCGAUAAGGCAGGGCUCUGCAUUGCAGAGUGAUCACACAGCACAUCAGGUUUUCAGAAUGCCUCACAGAGGGUAAUCCCUCACUGUGCAUCACGGAUGCAGGAAGGAGACAAAAGGAGAACAGAUGGAAAGAAAGAAAAGCAGUGGCUCCGGAC
rnacentral:lncRNA from 1 species